GUUUACAAUUUUAGAGUUUAAUCCAUAGAGUAUAGAAUUAGUUUCAAAUUGUUGACACAGAAAUCAAACAAUGCAACAAACGGAAGAACAUAAUAAAAAGACAAAAAAAAACUUCAUUUAAAAUGUUUACAAUAAUAAUUAUGUUACAAAACAACAUGUGUCUAAAUAUGUUCACUUCCGUGUUGUUCAUUUUAGUUGUAACAAGUCGUUUAUAAAGAAUGUCUAUAAGGCACUUAUGCAUAGCAGAAGUAUACAAACAUUACAGAAGCAGCAAACAUUUGAAAACGAUGUUUAAACAAGUAAAAACAUUAAAAAUACUUUUUUUAAAAAGAUAAUACCUCCUUUAUACAAACUUAUAGAGCGAUUGUUUUUCCCCAGAUCUAAUACACUUUAUAAUAUUUCAAUGAUAGCCCUUUAGAUAUAGACUUACAAGACGAUGCGCAAAUGUUUUACUGAACAUUAAUUUAUUAAACCUUUGAAUCAAUAAUGCUCUAAAUUCGGUAAUUUCCGAACGCGAUAGUCCUCUCAAGAACCGAUGUUGGAUCUACAUCUAGAUCUACUUUUCUGUCAAAAUUUAAAUUUAAUUUUGUCUUUUUUUUUUUUUUUUUUUUUUUU